rnacentral:lncRNA from 1 species
UGCAUAAUUAAUCCAUGCCCUAAAAACUACCCACUGCUCUAAGCAGCCUGAGAACUGACAGGAAGUGCUGUGAAAUGAGGUCUCCUGUAAAGCUCUGCUGUCCCCAUGAGUCAUUUGUAGGGUCUGCCAGCCCCAGGGUGUCACCUGGCUUCAGCUCUCACCACGGCCACAUUUGGGAGGAAGACAGAAUUAUGUAGUACAUAAUUAAUCCUACAUUUCAGCUCUGACUCCAGGGGGAGGGUGGGGGUGAAAGGAGAGGUCGGCUCUGCAUAUCUCCCCCUCUCCCAUCACCCACUUGUACCUGCCUGCAGGGAUUUGGUUUUCAUCACCUAGGCAAAAAGGGAAACUGGGAGAAGAGCAACAAAAAUGGAAUCUGCAAGGAAACACAGAGGAAACUGUAAAGCAACAUCUGACAGUCAUGUCUGGCCAACCCAUGAAGAUUCCUCCCAGUAAAAACAUGGAGGACAGCUUUACCUUUCUGGGCAGGAGUAUCCAGGAGAGCAGGAAAGGAGACCACCCUACCCCAGGCCAACAAGGGCAGGCAGAGACUUGGUGGUGGUGAGAUGACCAGGAUACCCUCCUGCCCACUGCUGGCGCAAGGGUCUGUGGACUCCUUCCUCUUGUCCCAUUGUCCUCCCAUUCCAUCAUGGUUCCUGGGGCCUUAGCAACAGUGUCCUCUCCUUGUUGGUCACCGCUCCUUUGCUACUAAGCACAACUCAGCAGGCAAGGAGAGGGUGGUUCCCACCAGCUUGCAGUCUGUCCCAGAUGUUUCCACAGGGCUGAGGGAUGCUGGUAGCAGUGCAGGGUCUUGCCUUAGUGGAGGACAUGUGAGACCACAUCAUGGAGGUCAGACUGCUGGUUUUCUGAAAGCAGUAUGCUGAUCUGCAAGCUUGUUGUGUGUUUCUCCACGAGGACAGCCCAGACAUGCCAUCCUUGGACCCAUCUGUUGAAGUCAUGGUGGAAGGUUUCCAUCCAAGGACUUUCUCACUGUUUUUUUUUCUCUCAGAGCCUUCUGAUAUACAUUGUACCCUCAGCCCUCUCUGCCAUGAGCUGUCCCCACUGUCCCCAGUUCAAUAUCAUCCUCAUCCCUGCUGGUGUUGAGGCAUCGAGUGACUGCGUGGCAUCCUAUCCUGCCAUCCUCCAAAAGGCUCUCUGGCUUGGGCUGGAUGUAUCAGGCAGUAGAAAACCACCUGUGGAAGGACCUUCCCCAGUGGUGACCUCGAGGUGGAUUGAAGCUGGAGUUCCUGCAGUGCUCAUUCAUCAGUCUCCGUCAAGGGAAAGAGAAGAACCAUCCAUUCCCCAAGCAGAAGAGGAUUCUUGUGUAGCCAGUGCUCUUCAGACCAUUCAGACAUGUCUGCUGCUAUCUGAGAUGAGUGACUGCUGGGAGAACAUUUUGUCCCCCAAGAUUUAUGUUAGACAGCUAUGGACAAGGGUACGUUCCUUACUCUGUAAAUCAAAGAUCUAA